rnacentral:rRNA from 1 species
AGAGCGAACGCUGGCGGCAGGCUUAACACAUGCAAGUCGAGCGGGCGUAGCAAUACGUCAGCGGCAGACGGGUGAGUAACGCGUGGGAACGUACCUUUUGGUUCGGAACAACCCAGGGAAACUUGGGCUAAUACCGGAUAAGCCCUUACGGGGAAAGAUUUAUCGCCGAAAGAUCGGCCCGCGUCUGAUUAGCUAGUUGGUGAGGUAAUGGCUCACCAAGGCGACGAUCAGUAGCUGGUCUGAGAGGAUGAUCAGCCACAUUGGGACUGAGACACGGCCCAAACUCCUACGGGAGGCAGCAGUGGGGAAUAUUGGACAAUGGGCGCAAGCCUGAUCCAGCCAUGCCGCGUGAGUGAUGAAGGCCCUAGGGUUGUAAAGCUCUUUGUGCGGAAGAUAAUGACGGUACCGCAAGAAUAACGCCCGGCUAACUUCGCGCCAGCAGCCGC